UUAAAUUGAAUAUUAGCUUUCUGACGCCAAAUAUCACAAAAGAUGGGCCAUCUCUUGGAAGACCUUGAAUAAACAACUUUAAAAUAAACGUCGUGAGGAACCGAUAUUAUCUCUUGGAAGCCUUGAAUAAACUGACACUUGAUCUUUUAUAGCUGUCACAUAGAGAUUCUCUAUUCUCAUAUUGAUGUAACUCUCUCGGUUCUCAAAGGUAACUGCCAUAUAUGCACAUUCUUCGCAUAAUUAUCUCAAUUUCUCUUCCAAGUACGUCCUCAUAGUCUACACUAAAAGUCAGACCAAGGUCAGCUUCAUCGAAUUCUGCUCGACUCAAUUUUAAUACGUUCAAACAACGUAACUGUUGUAAUCUCUCUCAUCCGUGUGUUUGAUGUCGUCUAAGGAAACACUUUUUCCGACUCAUAGCAAUGCAUACGAUUGAUCACAAUAUUGUCUAUAUAUGAAGUCAAAAGUAACAAAGAUGAGAAAAUUUUUGAAACCAUAAAAAAUGCGAGAUCUAAUCAUUGAUCAACUUGAACUAAUUUUGUACUUGAAUUUC
rnacentral:sRNA from 1 species